AGGACGAACGCUGGCGGUGUGCUUCACACAUGCAAGUCGAACGAGGUAGCAAUACCUAGUGGCGGACGGGUGAGUAACGCGUGGGAAUCUGCCUGAAGAUGGGGGAUAGCUAGCCGAAAGGCUAAUUAAUACCGCAUAUGUAUAUAUUUCGACAGUUUUAUAUAUAAAAGUAGCAAUACGUCUUUAGAUGAGCCCGCGUCCGAUUAGCUAGUUGGUAGGGUAAAGGCCUACCAAGGCGACGAUCGGUAGGUGGUCCGAGAGGACGAUCACCCACAAUGGAACUGAGACACGGUCCAUACUCCUACGGGAGGCAGCAGUGGGGAAUUUUACGCAAUGGGCGAAAGCCUGACGUAGCGACACCGCGUGAACGAAGAAGCCUUUUGGGGUGUAAAGUUCUGUCGGCUGGGAAGAAAAAAAUGACGGUACCAGCAAAGGAAGCAUCGGCUAACUACGUGCCAGCAGCCGC
rnacentral:rRNA from 1 species